UCGAACGGUAACAGGAAGUGCUUGCACUUCGCUGACGAGUGGCGGACGGGUGAGUAAUGCUUGGGAACUUGCCUUUGCGAGGGGGAUAACAGUUGGAAACGACUGCUAAUACCGCAUAAUGUCUUCGGACCAAACGGGGCUUAGGCUCCGGCGCAAAGAGAGGCCCAAGUGAGAUUAGCUAGUUGGUAAGGUAAAGGCUUACCAAGGCAACGAUCUCUAGCUGUUCUGAGAGGAAGAUCAGCCACACUGGAACUGAGACACGGUCCAGACUCCUACGGGAGGCAGCAGUGGGGAAUAUUGCACAAUGGGGGAAACCCUGAUGCAGCCAUGCCGCGUGUGUGAAGAAGGCCUUCGGGUUGUAAAGCACUUUCAGUUGUGAGGAAAAGUUAGUAGUUAAUACCUGCUAGCCGUGACGUUAACAACAGAAGAAGCACCGGCUAACUCCGUGCCAGCAGCCGCGGUAAUACGGAGGGUGCGAGCGUUAAUCGGAAUUACUGGGCGUAAAGCGCACGCAGGCGGUUUGUUAAGCUAGAUGUGAAAGCCCCGGGCUCAACCUGGGAUGGUCAUUUAGAACUGGCAGACUAGAGUCUUGGAGAGGGGAGUGGAAUUCCAGGUGUAGCGGUGAAAUGCGUAGAUAUCUGGAGGAACAUCAGUGGCGAAGGCGACUCCCUGGCCAAAGACUGACGCUCAUGUGCGAAAGUGUGGGUAGCGAACAGGAUUAGAUACCCUGGUAGUCCACACCGUAAACGCUGUCUACUAGCUGUUUGUGACUUUAAGUCGUGAGUAGCGAAGCUAACGCGCUAAGUAGACCGCCUGGGGAGUACGGCCGCAAGGUUAAAACUCAAAUGAAUUGACGGGGGCCCGCACAAGCGGUGGAGCAUGUGGUUUAAUUCGAUGCAACGCGAAGAACCUUACCUACACUUGACAUGCUGAGAACUUUCUAGAGAUAGAUUGGUGCCUUCGGGAACUCUGACACAGGUGCUGCAUGGCUGUCGUCAGCUCGUGUCGUGAGAUGUUGGGUUAAGUC
rnacentral:rRNA from 1 species